GUUGCCAAGCGGGUUCACGUUCCCACGACGAAUGUGAUCACUGGGAUGUGACGCCGUGCGGUCUAGCAGGUAUUUACCAACGCUUUCGGGGAAUAAGCCGCAUAUAUCUUGACGACAGAGGAAGUAUAGUGUCUGUUUGCCAAACUACACGGCGUCACAUCCCAGAAGGCCGUAAUCACCGCCAUAACAACUUCGUGUAUCAUUCUCAAUCUGUGUUCUGCCCUCAACUUGACAUGAUAAUGCCACUGACCAGAACACUUAUGUAAAGAUAGCAGAUUAGAUAUGACUGACAACAUGAAGUAUUGAUGCUGAUGGGUAUUAAUACAUUUCAGUUAAAAGUCUGCCUGUGAAGAGAAGACUAGGAGGUCGGUGUGAUACAGCCAUCAGCCUGGGACCCAGCUGUCAGUUGACAAGAGUACUUGAGUGCCGGAAGCUCAAGAACCUGCACUGCGUUCACUGUUGCCAGGACGCGGCUUGUGGAAACUAAUAAAAUGUAUACACUAGUCUGUGUCAGUGAUCUGUAUAAA